rnacentral:rRNA from 1 species
CGAACGGGUGCGUAACGCGUGGGAACCUGCCUUUAGGUCCGGAAUAACAGUUAGAAAUGACUGCUAAUGCCGGAUAAUGUCUUCGGACCAAAGAUUUAUCGCCUUUAGAUGGGCCCGCGUAGGAUUAGGUAGUUGGUGAGGUAAAGGCUCACCAAGCCGACGAUCCUUAGCUGGUCUGAGAGGAUGAUCAGCCACACUGGGACUGAGACACGGCCCAGACUCCUACGGGAGGCAGCAGUAGGGAAUAUUGGACAAUGGGCGAAAGCCUGAUCCAGCAAUGCCGCGUGAGUGAUGAAGGCCUUAGGGUUGUAAAGCUCUUUUACCAGGGAUGAUAAUGACAGUACCUGGAGAAUAAGCUCCGGCUAACUCCGUGCCAGCAGCCGCGGUAAUACGGAGGGAGCUAGCGUUGUUCGGAAUUACUGGGCGUAAAGCGCGCGUAGGCGGCUUUCCAAGUCAGGGGUGAAAUCCCGGGGCUCAACCCCGGAACUGCCCUUGAAACUGGAUGGCUAGAAUACUGGAGAGGUGAGUGGAAUUCCGAGUGUAGAGGUGAAAUUCGUAGAUAUUCGGAAGAACACCAGUGGCGAAGGCGACUCACUGGA